GAUUCUGGCUCAGGAUGAACGCUAGCGACAGGCUAACACAUGCAAGCGAGGGGCAGCAUAGAAGUAGCAAUACGUUGGUGGCGACCGGCGCACGGGUGAGUAACGCGUAUGCAACCUACCUAUCGAGAGGGGAAUAACCCGGCGAAAGUCGGACUAAUACCGCAUAAAACAGGGGCACCGCAUGGUGAUAUUUGUUAAAGAAAUUCGCUGAUAGAUGGGCAUGCGUUCCAUUAGGUAGUUGGUGAGGUAACGGCUCACCAAGCCGACGAUGGAUAGGGGAACUGAGAGGUUGGUCCCCCACACUGGUACUGAGACACGGACCAGACUCCUACGGGAGGCAGCAGUGAGGAAUAUUGGUCAAUGGGCGGGAGCCUGAACCAGCCAAGUCGCGUGAAGGAAGAAGGAUCUAUGGUUCGUAAACUUCUUUUGCAGGGGAAUAAAGUGCAGGACGUGUCCUGUUUUGUAUGUACCCUGAGAAUAAGGAUCGGCUAACUCCGUGCCAGCCGCCGC
rnacentral:rRNA from 1 species